rnacentral:rRNA from 1 species
AGGACGAACGCUGGCGGCGUGCUUAACACAUGCAAGUCGAGCGGAAAGGCCUUUCGGGGUACUCGAGCGGCGAACGGGUGAGUAACACGUGAGUAAUCUGCCCAUCGCUUCAGGAUAGCCAUCGGAAACGGUGAUUAAUACUGGAUAUGACAUUCCUUCGCAUGUUGGGGUGUGGUAAAGUUUUUUCGGCGGUGGAUGUGCUCGCGGCCUAUCAGUCUUGUUGGUGGGGUAAUGGCCUACCAAGGUCUUUGACGGGUAGCCGGCCUGAGAGGGUCGACCGGCCACACGUGGGACUGACGACACGGCCCCAGACCUCCGUACGGGAGGCAGGCGAGGUGGGGAAUAGUUGGGACAAGUGGGCGGAAGUCCGUGAUCCAGCCAACGCCGCGUAGAGGAGUGGACCGGUCCGUUCGGGUUACGUAACCGUACGUUUCGAGC